UGGGUAAUCUGCCCUUCACUUCGGGAUAACCACCGGAAACGGUGGCUAAUACCGAAUACGACCAGUCCUUGCAUGAGGUGCUGGUGGAAAGUCUUUUCGGUGAAGGAUGUGCUCGCGGCCUAUCAGCUUGUUGGUGGGGUAAUGGCCUACCAAGGCUUCGACGGGUAGCCGGCCUGAGAGGGUGACCGGCCACACUGGGACUGAGACACAGCCCAGACUCCGUACGGGAG
rnacentral:rRNA from 1 species